rnacentral:rRNA from 1 species
GAACGCUGGCGGCGUGCUUAACACAUGCAAGUCGAGCGAUGAAACACCUUCGGGUGUGAAUUAGCGGCGAACGGGUGAGGAACACGUGAGAAAUCUGCCUUCAACACUGGGAUAACUCCGGGAAACCGGGGCUAAUACCGGAUAUGAAAUCUGCGGGCAUCCGCGGAUUUGGAAAGUUUUUCGGUUGAAGAUGAUCUCGCGGCCUAUCAGCUUGUUGGUGAGGUAAUGGCUCACCAAGGCGACGACGGGUAGCCGGCCUGAGAGGGCGACCGGCCACACUGGGACUGAGACACGGCCCAGACUCCUACGGGAGGCAGCAGUGGGGAAUAUUGGGCAAUGGAGGAAACUCUGACCCAGCGACGCCGCGUGCGGGAUGAAGGCCUUCGGGUUGUAAACCGCUUUCAGCAGGGAAGAAGCGAAAGUGACGGUACCUGCAGAAGAAGCACCGGCUAACUAUGUGCCAGCAGCCGCGGUAAUACAUAGGGUGCAAGCGUUGUCCGGAAUUAUUGGGCGUAAAGAGCUCGUAGGUGGUUCGUCACGUCGGAUGUGAAACUCUGGGGCUUAACCCCAGACCUGCAUUCGAUACGGGCGAGCUUGAGUAUGGUAGGGGAGUCUGGAAUUCCUGGUGUAGCGGUGGAAUGCGCAGAUAUCAGGAGGAACACCAAUGGCGAAGGCAGGACUCUGGGCCAUUACUGACACUGAGGAGCGAAAGCGUGGGGAGCGAACAGGAUUAGAUACCCUGGUAGUCCACGCCGUAAACGGUGGGCACUAGUUGUGGGGACCUUCCACGGUCUCUGCGACGCAGCUAACGCAUAAGUGC